UAAGAGGAGGUUUUAGUACGUAGGCGCUGUGGAACUUUAUAGUUCUGAUGAUGCAGUGAAUCGUGCAUGCGGCAAUUCACCCGUAGUAAGGUGACCGUAUCUUUCGAAGAUUUCCUCCCUCU
rfam:Drosophila willistoni strain TSC#14030-0811.24 scf2_1100000011161 genomic scaffold, whole genome shotgun sequence.